AGUUCUGGCUUGAAACAGAUAAAGCUGCUUAUUUGUUGAGGCAAUACUUCUUUAACAAUCUUCAUGAUCGUCUUAGUACCCGACCUUUCCUCUGUCUUAUUGAGAAGAAAUGGCUUGCUUUCCAGUUGCUUUAUGCAGUGAAGCAGAGUCAUGAGCAUGGAGUGUGUCAUGGUGAUAUCAAGUGUGAGAAUGUGCUAGUCACAUCUUGGAACUGGCUUUAUCUUGCAGAUUUUGCGUCAUUCAAACCCACUUAUAUUCCACAUGAUGAUCCUUCUGAUUUCUCCUUCUUCUUUGAUACCGGUG
rnacentral:misc_RNA from 1 species